CAGUAGCCGCGGUAAUACGAAGGGUGCAAGCGUUACUCGGAAUUACUGGGCGUAAAGCGUGCGUAGGUGGUGGUUUAAGUCCGUUGUGAAAGCCCUGGGCUCAACCUGGGAAUUGCAGUGGAUACUGGGUCACUAGAGUGUGGUAGAGGAUAGUGGAAUUUCCGGUGUAGCAGUGAAAUGCGUAGAGAUCGGAAGGAACAUCUGUGGCGAAGGCGACUAUCUGGGCCAACACUGACACUGUGGCACGAAAGCGUGGGGAGCAAACAGGAUUAGAUACCCCAGUAGUCCCUGUCUCUUAUAC
rnacentral:rRNA from 1 species